UGAGGAAUAUUGGUCAAUGGACGAGAGUCUGAACCAGCCAAGUAGCGUGAAGGAUGACUGCCCUAUGGGUUGUAAACUUCUUUUAUACGGGAAUAAAGUUCAGCACGUGUGCUGUUUUGUAUGUACCGUAUGAAUAAGGAUCGGCUAACUCCGUGCCAGCAGCCGCGGUAAUACGGAGGAUCCGAGCGUUAUCCGGAUUUAUUGGGUUUAAAGGGAGCGUAGGCGGAUGCUUAAGUCAGUUGUGAAAGUUUGCGGCUCAACCGUAAAAUUGCAGUUGAUACUGGGUGUCUUGAGUACAGUAGAGGUAGGCGGAAUUCCUAGUGUAGCGGUGAAAUGCGUAGAUAUUAGGAGGAACACCAGUGGCGAAGGCGGCUUACUGGACGGUAACUGACGUUGAGGCUCGAAAGCGUGGGGGAGCAAACAGGAUUAGAUACC
rnacentral:rRNA from 1 species